CUUAAAGUCUGUUAAACUGUUAAACUGCUUCUGAAAACUUUGGUAGCAAGUGAAAGCAUUGGUGGACAGUGAGUAUGCUAAACAAUCCAGCUGUACUGUCCAACAGCACCAGCAGCAGUGACACACAUUGUGUGAUAAGAAGAUUAGCAGCUGUGGCUCAGGGUGGGAAACCCAAAGCACAAAUCUUUUUGUCUUGUUACACGUUCUUAUGAUUUUUUCUUUAAUAUUAUUCCACAGGGAUUGUUUGUUUCCUUCAUUGAAUUCAAUUGUUCGUUCUGAUGGAAAGGUAUCAGAUAAAAAAUAAGACAAUCAAAAACGCCAUGCAGCUAUACACAUUCUGCAGGAGCACACUCUGAAUGUCGCUGCUGUAUUUAAUGCUCAGCUGGAUGGCUGAGAGCUCAAAAUGGCUGUCGAGAUAAGAUUUCUCAUUCUCAAGUCAUUGUGCAGGGCCAGCUGGCACCUCGUGGGACAUUGUCAACGUGACACGGCACAGAGCAAACCCCCGAGCCUUCCACUUCCAGCAGCUACAAGGCACUAUGCAUCGCCUCCUCUACACGCAAAGACGCUGAGAAUUGGAUCAUCUGCCUUCAUUAUUCUUAUGGGAGCACAGAAGGAUCUGAAAACUGUGGUCAAGCCAGACGCUAAGCCCACUCGGAUAAUACACCUUUUAUUGAAGAGAAAGCUCUGACGAUUUCAGAAGUGCCCCGACAAACCUUCCGCCGUAUGUAAGUGUGAAAUCCUGACACCAAAAAAAUCAGUGACUGAAUAAUCCUUCCCAUCAGCACCGGGAUCUGAAUCAUUUCAUCAUCUCAGAAAUGGCCCCAGCACCUUCAGCAGCCCACACAGGCACCACACGAGCUGAGGUCGGCAGAGGUGUCAAAUGUAUUUGCUCCUAAAACGUAGCAGUUGCUGCCUACACUGGAGUUGCUGGCUGCAGGCUCCCCGCUCUUUCUCCAAACAAAACACAGGAACGGAUUUCCUGCCAAGCACUGGAGAAGUUUGAAGGCUUCGGCUCUUAAACACACAUACCGUCUUUUUAUCGGUGCCCUGAGCCCUCCAAAGGUAAUUACGGGCCACGGCGCAUUAACGCGCAGGACCUACA
ensembl:lncRNA